UACGUAGGGAGCAAGCGUUGUUCGGAUUUACUGGGCGUAAAGGGCGCGUAGGCGGCGCGGUAAGUCACUUGUGAAAUCUCUGAGCUUAACUCAGAACGGCCAAGUGAUACUGCAGUGCUAGAGUGCAGAAAGGGGCAAUCGGAAUUCUUGGUGUAGCGGUGAAAUGCGUAGAUAUCAAGAGGAACACCUGAGGCGAAGGCGGGUUGCUAGGCUGACACUGACGCUGAGUGCGCGAAAGCCAGGGGAGCAAACGGG
rnacentral:rRNA from 1 species